rnacentral:lncRNA from 1 species
GGAAUUGCUUGUCAACUGAGACAUGCGAGGGGUGGCAGGGAAGGGCAGAAGUAGGAAAAGCAGCAGCACAGCAAGCAGCAGGCCACUUCCCGGGCACGGUUACUAAGGCACGUGACCAUGGUGAGGAGGAUCCUCAGGACCCGGCUGGAGCUGCCUGCAGCCACCCGGGGACUCGGUCUGUGCCUCUUGACCUCCCCUCCAUCACCACAAACCCAGAAAGGGGCAACCUGCCCAGACUGCAAGUGACUAAAUGGGCACUCCAUGGCAUCUUAGCAACUCUCCUGCCCCAGGCCUCUGUGGGCAGCAAGAAAGCCAGAGCUAUCUAGGAUAAAACCCAGGAGGCAGCAUGUGGAGAUAAUGGGCGGUCUGACUCACCGCAAUCUGGCAGAUAAAGAGGAUACAACGCAGAGCGUACCAGCGCGCCCAGGUGGUCAAAAUAGUAACAUUUGCUCAUAUCCUCUUUUCAGGCAGCGACCUACCUGCUCCCAUAACUCUAAAUCUAAGGUUCCUUGAUCAGGAAACCAAGGGCAUCCCUGCCGAAUUAAAAGCAUAAGCUUGUGUAGAGCUCCAGGCUCUACAGUGCACUGGAUAGCCUUAAGUAGCUGUUGCACUGUUUUAAAAAAUACUUUCUGUUCUUUGGUCAUUUCCUGACCCAUGAUGACCCAACCCCUGGUAUUUUACGCGUGGGUCCCGUCCUCCUAAUGGCAAUCAGGACUGUCCCUUACUGGGAUUCCCCAAAAAUUAAGGAGUUUUCCUCCUUCACGUGCAACUUCAAGGCGAUCACUUCGGGCGCACCACUUGUAGAGUUUAUAGCUUGCAGUGAACGCCCAGAAUGAGUUCUCAGACAAUUCCAGCUGAGCGGAGCGGCGGACCACUCUUCUGAGAGAGUGUCACCCCAGAAUCCAUCCGCCAAGUAUUUAUUGAAAGGGCUUGUUAAACUACAAACAUCCACUAGAUGGCCUCUUGAGGUCGGGUCGUGACACACCUGUGGCCUUCUAAAAGCAUUCAAACCACAUUCUCAGGAGGCUGUUUUCAGCGUUCCUCAUGACACACUCCACUCCUUGUCCUGUUUUCAGGGUCAAGGAGUUACAUUUCCAUGCACAAAUAACAUACACACAGUGCCUCCGUCUUUUUCCAUGCCCCGACCUCAAAUGCUUUGUAUACAAGCUUGAAUUUGUUGCCAUGCACCCCCAACAACCCUCUGCCCAUUUGGCUGGCAAAGCAACUGGUUGUGCCCUCAAUAAACAGUACUGACUUUGGGAACAUCAGGGUCUUCCUAGUCUUGGAACUCUCUACUGUUCAGUUUUUAUAACAAAUUUAUAUGUAAGAAAUACGGGUCCUAGGAAACAGCCUGAAGGACAUGCAAUCCAUUCACUCCAAAUUUUACCUCUGGGGCAAGCUCAAGAGCUAAUUGCUAGGCCCGCAUUUUUUGGGUCCCUGUAUAAUUGCCUUUCCUGAACAAUGCUGUGGUGUUACUCCUUUGGCUUACAGUGAAGGAAGUAAUUAGCCCUAUAUUAAACUUGUUGUUAUGAUUACUAUACGGUUGCUGCUUUGGCUGCGGCCCUUAACAUCACAGUGCCCUAAUAAACUGAGGAUCCACAGAUAAAACUUCUUGUGGGUCUCACGACUAGGAAAAGCCAUGCUUCUCCUGAGCUGCUUCUGGCUUGCUUUUCACUAUAGACUCUGUUAAUCUUGUUACUAUAUACACUUCAUUUGUCCUACCUACUUGUCACAAAGUGAAAUAUGUGACUUGGCUGUAGCAAUUGUACAGAACAUUAUAUUAUGCAUUUGAUGUGGUGGUUUUCCCUCUAGUUUUUUUCCCCCAUGUAUUCUUUAUAGGUUUAUACCUGAGCACUUCUUCUAGUUUUUAUUAUAUAUUUUAUUUCUUUAUUUUUAUGUUUAUUGCAUGUAUCACUAAGAUGGCUCAAAUCUGGUUUUGAAAUAAGAAAGGUCUACAAAUAAAGAAAUUUUGGGUCUACGCAGAAAUGAUAUGCUAGAUAUUUUGUUUUCAAUCAUAAAGAGAGCCACCCACAUCUUGAACUCAUUGUACUAAUAACUGGGAACUCGAAACAAUUUUCACAGGACUAUCUACACCUACAGGCACUGGAAUCUGUGACUAGUCCUUCACGAGGACUGCCAUAGUGCUAGGCCUACACUUCCAACCCUUUUUCCUCUUCUUCUCCUUCCCCUUUCAUUUGUUAUGCUGCUGGUCUUUCUCACACUUAUUAAGGGCUUCGUGCGGUUCUUAAAGACUCCCUUCUCAAGCAUAUCUCUGAGCAUAUCUGCCUCCUGAUUUCAAAAAUAAAUCCUCAAAUGCUCUUUUUAGUAUACAGGAAAAAGGCCAAUGCUUACUCAUCUUUCUAUCCUUAGAACCUAGCAUUGGCCUGGAAAAUAAUAAGCAGCUGGUGAACAUUUGUUGAAAGAACUGAAUUACAUUAAAUAAACUAAUGCACAUAAGGCAUUAGUUGGGCCCUUGGACAAAGUACACAAUAAAUGUUUAUUUCUCAAUCACUUUCCCUUCACACCUGGCCUGAAGCUACCUUUCCCACCUUAUCCCCACUGCCAUGGCUUAAAGCAUCACUAACUCUUGUAAUUUCAUGCACAUAACGUUCAUUUCUGUGCCUAGGGAAUUUUCAUUGUGCUGUUCUUUCUUUCUUCAAUGCCAUCUCUUCCUUAAAUGCACCAUCAUUGCUCAAAUUUAGAGAAAAUAAGACAUAUUCCUAGUGAUGCUGGUCCAAAACUCCUAUAAAACAAGUCAUGUCUUUUAUAUUUAAAUAAUUUAGAUUGGCUUUUCUUCACCAAAAGAAAUCAAACAACUUUUAGCAACUCUGUUAGAUUUCUGCAAUUGCAUGUUGUUUUUAACUGGCAAAGCUCCUUAAAACAAAUAAAAACAUACUUCCAUUUAUUGAUGCAAGCCCUGUUUCUUUCUAGUAUUCAAAUUCAUUAAUAAAAGACUCAAUGAUUAUUAAAUUUUUGGGUUUGAAUGGAUAGUUUUUAUGCAUGUAUACCCAGUUGUUUAGCAUUUUAUUUUAUCGCCCCCUACAGGAAGUCUAAAAUACAUUUAGUAUAUCGCCCCCUACAGGAAUACAUUUAGUAUAAAUGUACUAUAUACAUUUAGUAUAUCGCCCCCUACAGGAAGUCUAAAAUACAUUUUAGAAAAUUUUAUAA